AGAACGAACGUUAGCGGCGCGCCUAACACAUGCAAGUCGAACGCGACUGGGGCAACCCAGUUGAGUGGCGCACGGGUGAGUAACACGUAGGUAAUCUCCCCCCGAGUGGUGGAUAACCUUCCGAAAGGAGGGGCUAAUACAGCAUAAGACCACGGCUUCGAAAGGAGCUGAGGUCAAAGCGGAGGAUCGCAAGACUUCGCGCUUGGGGAUGAGCCUGCGGCCCAUCAGGUAGUUGGCGGAGUAAAAGCCCACCAAGCCUAAGACGGGUAGCUGGUCUGAGAGGAUGAUCAGCCACACUGGAACUGAGACACGGUCCAGGACUCCUACGGGAGCAGGCAGUGGGAAUCGUUGCGCAAUGGACGAAAGUCUGACGCAGCGACGCCGCGUGGGUGAGUGAAGGUCCUUCGGUUAGUAAAGCCCGUGGUGGGAGGACGAAGUAAGUGUCGUUAAGUACCGGCAGUGAUGACGUACUCUUAG
rnacentral:rRNA from 1 species